rnacentral:snRNA from 1 species
GUGCUCGCUUCGGCAGCACAUAUACUAAAAUUGGAACGAUACAGAGAAGAUUAGCAUGGCCUCUGCGCAAGGAUUACACGCAAAUUCGUGUAAUAUUUAAAAAAAUAUU